GAGAUGAGCAGAAAAAGGCAGAGUCAGUUGCUUCAAUAAUCGCUGAGCUACCUGCAGAGAAACAGGCAACCAUAAAAACAAAGAAAACAAUAGAGAAAGGGAUACAGAGGGAGCCUCUGCUGAGUGGCGUAGGAUGGGCUAGCUGGCGCCUCCAAGAGCUCUUCUAAAACUGCAGGUUAAAAAUACCUUCUGCGGCAAUCAGUACAAAAGCCAGACCUUGGGUUUUAUACGAGCCUCUAUUGCUCAGGCACCUGUACAGAGAGCUUUCCAGCGCAGUGGAAACGAGGGGGCAGGCGGGGCUCUGUUUCACUGGGUUGCUCCCUGCCCAGGCUGAAGGUUUUGGUGGACCGCUGCUUUGAGCGCCCAGGCAACAGGGACAGUGAUGUGAUCAAUAUGACAUCAAUAAAGGGCACUGUCCAGAAGAAGUGAGUGGAUUCAUUUCAUAGAGCUCUAAUCUCUAAGUCUCUCUAAGACUGGUAAGAUAAGACACCCUUGGAAGAUGCUCACCUCUCCUUUCACUUUGAUGAUCUCAUUUUGAUUUGAGAAGUUAAAUCUUUUCAUAUUGAAAAGUCUCCCUCCUAAGUCAAUGUGAAGCAAGACAGACUGCCAGAGGACAGCUGAGAUCUCUAGGCACAAGAGAUGCUUGUCUAUCGGUUGGCUACAAGGACUUACCUCCAUUGACACAGUUCGUUGCCGCUCCUUGUCUGAAGCCCAGUGAUGCACAAUCCUCUCUCCAGCUCCCUCUCCCACCUCCCCAUACCACCACCACGGCAUCCUACGAUGAUGAAAAUAGCUGUCACAGCUGUGAUGACCUGGGGCUGAAAUGGUA
rnacentral:lncRNA from 1 species